rnacentral:rRNA from 1 species
UACGUAGGUGGCAAGCGUUGUCCGGAAUUACUGGGCGUAAAGAGCUCGUAGGUGGUUUGUCGCGUUGUCCGUGAAAACUCACAACUCAAUUGUGGGCGUGCGGGCGAUACGGGCAGACUGGAGUACUGCAGGGGAGACUGGAAUUCCUGGUGUAGCGGUGGAAUGCGCAGAUAUCAGGAGGAACACCGGUGGCGAAGGCGGGUCUCUGGGCCGAUACUGACGCUGAGGAGCGAAAGCGUGGGGAGCGAACAGG